rnacentral:rRNA from 1 species
GAACAAACGCUGGCGGCGUGCCUAACACAUGCAAGUCGUACGAGAAAGUCGGCUUCGGCCGAUGAGUACAGUGGCGCACGGGUGAGUAGCGCGUGGGUAAUCUGCCCCCCGGUCAGGAAUAACCCGCCGAAAGGCGGGCUAAUACCCGAUAACACUGACGCUCCGCGGAGCGUCUUUCAAAGGAGGCCUCUGUUUACAAGCUUUCGCCGGAGGAUGAGCCCGCGUACCAUUAGCUAGUUGGCAGGGUAAUGGCCUACCAAGGCUGCGAUGGUUAGCUGGUCUGAGAGGGUGGCCCCCCACAAUGGAACUGAAACACGGUCCAUACACCUACGGGUGGCAGCAGUAGGGAAUAUUAGUAAUGGGCGAAAGCCUGAACUAGCAACGCCGCGUGUGCGAAGAAGGCCUUCGGGUCGUAAAGCACUUUUUGAGAGGAUGAGGAAGGACGGUACUCUCAGAAUAAGUCUCGGCUAACUACGUGCCAGCAGCCGCGGUAACACGUAGGAGGCAAACGUUAUCCGGAUUUACUGGGCGUAAAGCGCGUGUAGGUGGUUUGGUAAGUAGGGCGUGAAAGCUCCUGGCUCAACUGGGAGAGGACGUUCUAAACUGCCAAGCUUGAGGAUGGUAGAGGGAGGUGGAAUUCCGGGUGUAGCGGUGGAAUGCGCAGAUAUCCGGAGGAACACCAGUGGCGAAGGCGGCCUCCUGGACCACUCCUGACACUCAGACGCGAAAGCUAGGGUAGCAAACGGGAUUAGAGACCCCGGUAGUCCUAGCCCUAAACGAUGUAGACUUGGCGUCGGUGGUUUAAUCGCCAUCGGUGUCGUAGCUAACGCGAUAAGUCUACCGCCUGGGGACUACGGCCGCAAGGUUAAAACUAAAAGGAAUUGACGGGUCCCCGCACAAGCAGCGGAGCGUGUGGUUUAAUUCGAUGCUACACGAAGAACCUUACCUGGGUUUGACAUAGAGGUAGUAGGGAAGCGAAAGCGGACCGACCCUUCGGGGAGCCUCUACAGGUGUUGCAUGGCUGUCGUCAGCUCGUGUCGUGAGAUGUUCGGUUAAGUCCGCUAACGAGCGCAACCCUCGCUGUGUGUUACAAGUGUCACACGGUACUGCCGAUAUUAAGUCGGAGGAAGGUGGGGAUGACGUCAAGUCAGCAUGACCUUUAUAUCCAGGGCUACACACACGCUACAAUGGCCAGUACAAUGGGUUGCCAAGCCGCGAGGCGGAGCCAAUCCUAAAAAGCUGGCCUCAGUUCAGAUUGCAGUCUGCAACUCGACUGCAUGAAGUUGGAGUUGCUAGUAACCGCAGGUCAGCAAUACUGCGGUGAAUACGUUCCCGGGGAU